rnacentral:rRNA from 1 species
UCCAGACUCCUACGGGAGGCAGCAGUGGGGGAUAUUGCACAAUGGGGGGAACCCUGAUGCAGCGACGCCGCGUGGGUGAAGGAGCGUUUCGGCGCGUAAAGCCCUAUCGGCAGGGAAGAAGGAGGACGGUACCUGACUAAGAAGCCCCGGCUAACUACGUGCCAGCAGCCGCGGUAAUACGUAGGGGGCAAGCGUUAUCCGGGUUUACUGGGUGUAAAGGGGGCGCAGACGGCAGCGCAAGCCAGGAGUGAAAGCCCGGGGCCCAACCCCGGGACUGCUCUUGGAACUGCGCGGCUGGAGUGCAGGAGGGGCAGGCGGAAUUCCUGGUGUAGCGGUGAAAUGCGUAGAUGUCAGGAGGAACACCGGUGGCGAAGGCGGCCUGCUGGACUGCGACUGACGUUGAGGCCCGAAAGCGUGGGGAGCAAACAGGAUUAGAUACCCGAGUAA